GUGGGGUAACGGCCUACCAAGGCAUCGACGGGUAGCUGGUCUGAGAGGACGAUCAGCCACACUGGGACUGAGACACGGCCCAGACUCCUACGGGAGGCAGCAGUGGGGAAUAUUGCGCAAUGGGCGAAAGCCUGACGCAGCAACGCCGCGUGGGGGAUGAAGGCUUUCGGGUUGUAAACCCCUUUCAGUGAUGACGAAAAUGACGGUAAUCACAGAAGAAGCCCCGGCCAACUACGUGCCAGCAGCCGCGGUAACACGUAGGGGGCGAGCGUUGUCCGGAUUUAUUGGGCGUAAAGAGCUCGUAGGCGGUUGCGAAAGUCGGAUGUGAAAACUCAGGGCUCAACCCUGAGAUGCCAUUCGAUACUGCGCUGACUAGAGUCCGGUAGAGGAGCAUGGAAUUCCUGGUGUAGCGGUGAAAUGCGCAGAUAUCAGGAGGAACACCAGUAGCGAAGGCGGUGCUCUGGGCCGGUACUGACGCUGAGGAGCGAAAGCAUGGGUAGCAAACAGGAUUAGAUACCCUGGUAGUCCAUGCCGUAAACGUUGGGCACUAGGUGUGGGACCUACUUAACGGGUUCCGUGCCGUAGCUAACGCAUUAAGUG
rnacentral:rRNA from 1 species